rnacentral:rRNA from 1 species
CAUAGUAAGAAAGAUUCGCAUGUUUCUUUCUUGAAAGAUUUAUCGCUAUGAGAUGGACCCGCGUCUGAUUNNCUAGUGGUAAGGUAACGGCUUACCGAGGCGACGAUCAGUAGCCGGCUUGAGAGAGUGAACGGCCACAUUGGGACUGAGACACGGCCCAAACUCCUACGGGAGGCAGCAUG